rnacentral:rRNA from 1 species
AUGGGGUCGCCGCGGCUCAAGCUCAAUGUCGGCCGAGAUGGGGACAGAAUCAGCGCGCUCCACGACGACCUCCUCCUCGGGAUCCUCGAGCGCCUCGACCUGCGCGACGCGGCCAAGGCAUCGCAAGUGCCAUUUGCCCUGAGCGAGUGCUUUUCAAGGAGUGCCACAAACCUGUCUAAACUGUAUCUCAAUUUUGGCUGUCAAAUGAUUUGGAUUAAACCAGAACACCCGAAGGAGCUCACUUAUAUAUUCAACAACCUGAAUAGUUUGGCGCUUUACAAUAUCUUUUCUGAGUGUGACCUGAGCUGGACCUUGUUUAUCCUUGAAGUUGCACCUGCCCUACAGAAAUUCAGAUUAUCUCGAACUCAACACCCAUGUGCCAAAGUGUCCAAGGACAACCCCGAGAAGACUAACAUCGUGUGGGAACCAUCCAAGGAUUUGAAGCACCUGAACCUGAAGUUAUUUAUAAUGUUUGGGUUCGAGGAUGAAGACAAGGCGGCAAACUAUAUAAGGCUUGUCAUGGAACAUGCCGUGGGCUUGAAAAGAAUCGAGUUGCAUGGUAGAAACCCAUGCAAUGGGUGCGAUGCCAUCGACCUUGAGUUCCUGAGAAGAAGAUCCCAGGCGGAUGAAGCUAGCAGGCAUCGGAUUAAGGAGCAACUCACGCAUGGAUCUUCCUCGUCCGUGGAGAUAGUAAUCUGCUGA